CUAAGAUCAAAGUGUAGUAUCUGUUCUUUUCAGCUUAAUAUCUGAAAGUUCCCUCAUUGAGGGACCAGUAUAUUAAGCUGAUUUUUGUAAAACGAUGGGAUGUUCGGGGCUCGCUCCACUCCCGUCACGGGUCGGCCCGGCAUUGCAGUGCC
rnacentral:snRNA from 1 species